CCCAUACAGGCGAUGGAAACUACAAGGCUAGAGUUUGGUAGGGGUCACGGGAAUUCUUAGUGUAGCGGUGAAAUGCGUAGAUAUUAAGAAGAACACCAGCGGAGAAAGCGCGUGACUGGGCCAGUACUGACACUCAUGGA
rnacentral:rRNA from 1 species